UGCACAAAUAAAAUCACAGAUUAAAUGUUCAUUUAGACGACAAAAGUUCUAUCUCAUCAUAUCAGCUCAAAUUAUGGCAACAUACAAUGCUUCUUCUCAAGGGUAAUUUGCUUGAUCAGGUUUGCUUUUGACUUUUGAGUUUCAGCAAGUAUCCAUAUGCCUGAAUGUGUAGAUGCCAUGAGCUCAAUUGUGCAUGGACACCGAUUUAAAGAGAUUGGACUUCAAAAAUCUCAUCUUUUCUGAGUAAAUACCAUACAAACAUCUUUGUCAUCUUACUUCCUUGGCAUUGUUUCCUUUACAGUAUAAAGUUAUUUUUUGAAAAAUGAAAAGAAUCUUUUUUCUAAUAUCCACUACCAUUUCUCUCAAUCUUGUAAUCUUUUAAGUAAUAUCUUCACACCUAUUCUCAAUACACUCUCUUGAUCUUUUUUCCCCCUAACUAUAUUGACAAGAACUCUCAAAGCACUCUCUUUAUAUGUCUAGUAGACUUUAAAUUGAAUGGAUAUAUCAUCUUUCCAAGUUUCCAAAUACGCAAAUGUGUGUGCAGGUCUAUAUUUUCAAUUUACAUUUCCCAUGCUAUCUUACAUUUCCACCCUCAUUCUGGUAUCAGUCUUUCACGAACAUUUGUCUAAACUUAAUCAUCCAUUAGAUGUGGAGUAAGGAAUAAAAAUCAAAUACAGUCAAGAUUUGCCAUAGAAAGUACAAUUAGAUAAUACUGAAUAAAAAUUGAUAUGAUUGUUGAAACAUUAAAUGCACUAUUAAUUCUUAAAUUCUAAUGGGGAGUAUUACAGAAGUCUUUUUCUGCAAAGACCAUGCCUCAGAGCCAUAAAACAAAGAGAUCACAUCUUCCGAAGUAGCAAGGACAUAUCAUAUUGAAAUCAUAUUUCUAGGACUAGAAGUAAAUAACACAAUUAACAAGGAAAAAGAAAAGCACAAGUUCAUGUUAUAAGUGUGAAGCUCAUAAAUGGGCUGUAUAUUGCAUGGAAAUAAUGGGAAACAAAGCUGAAUUCCUUUUAGUUCUCCAUGAAACAAAUUCAAGUUUUUAAGAAGAGAACUUACAAUAUCAGUAGGUUUGUUUUGA
rnacentral:misc_RNA from 1 species